GAUUGCUUUAGCUUAUGCUGAAGGUACUGAUGCAAUGAAAGUGACAUAGGAAUAAAUAAAACAAUAAAAAGAUCACAAAACACUUACUUUCUAAAAUAACACACUUGGAAACGUAAAAGUAAAAACACCAUCCAAAUUUUCUUAUAGAAUAGAAGUAUAAGGGACAAUUUUUGUUUCAUUAAACCUGCCGGAAAAAAAAAAAAAAAAAACUGAAAUUUUACCAAUUUUACUCUACAUAAUGUAUAGCUGCAAAAUUUAGUAUGAGAAUAGACCGGCAAUGACGACAUGGAUCACUUGGUCACUUUGGCACUCCAUGGUUUGUCUCAAAUACUUUUCAUGGCCACAUUUUUAGAACCCGAAUUUCGUAGCCCUGCAUCUUAAUUAAACGACAUACCAACUCAAUCUCAUUUGCUAAGAAAAUGAAGGAAAGAAAGUCAGCAUCAACAUUGAAUUGUACUCCCCAUGAUGACAUUAAGCCAACAUGAAAGGCUUCAACCUUCAAGAAAAAGAUAAUUAUUGAUUUUGUCCAUGGGAAGAUAGACAACCAAAAUGGGAGAUCAAAUUUUGUCACAAAAAUAUUGGAUGUUAUAAACGGAUAUAUUCACUAAGGUUCCUCAUAUUCAUUUAUCUGUCAAUACAACCGCACAGUGUGUGCAACACCGCUACCAUCGAAACAGAAUCUCGACUGCUGUAGCGAUACGAUCUGUCACUUAGAAUAUUCAACCUUUUGGUUUCUCAACUGCAUUCGCGUUCUGGGCAGUAGUUUCUAUCAACAUAUGAAGAAAAAGAGCAAGUUAACUAAUUAGAAGUAUUUGCAUUUGCAUUUCAUUUCUAACUGUAAUUUCAUUUGCAUCUAGUUAGUUAGAAUAGUGAUGAGCUGGCACUAAUGUGUAUAUAACUGAAUGUAAUGAACCUUUACAAGUCAAUGAAAAUCAGUUACAAGUUUUCUUCAUUUGAAGCUUUUUCUCUCUUAACCAUGGUGGUUUAUUCUUCUCUGAUGGUAUCAGAGCAAGUUCAAGCUUGCUCUGCUUCCGCAAUUGCUACUACUCUGUUUUCCUCUGUUUGAUUACGUGUUUCUUCCAUUAGAACACGAAUCAUUUUCUUCUUCUUCUUCUGGUUUUUUGUUGCAGUUUCUUCUUCGUUUCAAGUUUCAAUCUUGAUUCGUUUUCUUUCAAUUUGAUUUUUUUUUCAAUCAAUUUUGUUAGUUUUUGAGUUUUUUUUUGGUGAAUCAUGGUGAGAAACAACAAUAAUCAGAAUCAGGAUCAAGGUCUUGAUCCAUAUUUUGUGCAUCCAUCUGAAAAUUCUUCAACCGUUAGUGUUACACCGCAGUUGAAUGGCGAUAACUAUCAUGCUUGGUCUAUGAAGAUGCGAAGAGCUCUAGCUAUGAAGAACAAGUUCAAAUUUGUCGAUGGUACUAUCCCCAUUCCUGAUGAUGAUGAAUUGAAUCGAAGUGCUUGGGAAAGAUGCAAUAAUCUUGUUCAUACAUGGAUUAUCAACUCAAUUACACCUUCUAUUGCACAAAGUGUAGUAUUCAUAGAAAAUGCGAUAGAUAUGUGGAAUGAUUUGAAAGAUCGUUUUAUGAGAGGUGAUAGAAUUAGGGUUGCUCAAUUGCAUCAAGAAAUUGCUAAUUUGAAGCAAGGCAAUCAUAAAAUCACAGAUUACUUUACUGAACUGAGGGGUCUAUGGGAAGAAUUGGAGCAAUAUAGGCCAAUGCCUCAGUGUAACUGUCCUAUUACUUGUACUUGUGCUGCUAUGAGGUAUGCUAAAGAGUUUAGAUUGGAAGAUAGAACUAUACAGUUCUUAAUUGGAUUGAAUGAGGAAUAUCAAGGAGUGGCUUCUCAGGUUUUACUUAUGGAUCCAAUGCCACCAAUCAAUAGGGUUUUUUCAAUGGUUAUGCAACAGGAAAGGAAAAUGCAAUAUGGUGUUAUCAAUGUUCAGAAUACACCAUUAGAGGAUACUACAAGUAUUGUAAAUGCAGUGAAUGGUCAAAAACAGUUUGGCAGAGGUAGAGGAAAUGGGUCUUCUCAAGGAAGAGGAAGAGGUAAUGGAAGAUUUUGUACCUUUUGUGAAAGAACUAAUCACACAGUGGAAACUUGUUACAAGAAGCAUGGAUACCCUCCAAACUGGGGAAGAGGUGGAGGAAAUUCCUAUGCUAAUAUGAUUGAUGGAGAUGAUGUAGAGAGUAAAAUGCAGACUGCAUCAACUAGCAGGAAUGAAGAAAGUGCAGGGGUCACUCUUACUAAGGAUCAAUAUCAGAAUCUGAUGUCUCUAUUGGAAAAGAGUAACCUUGAGACAAAGUGUUCAGCAAAUGUUGUGAAAGGUAUCAAUUACUCUUCAUUUAUUGGAGGUAAUUCAUGUUUUGCUAAUUUUGAUGAUAAGCAUGCUGAUACUGGAUGGAUUAUAGAUACAGGAGCUACACAUCAUACAUGUUUUGAUUUGAAAUGGUUCAGUAAUUGUACUAAAAUUGAACCUAUGAGUGUAAAUUUACCAAAUGGAAAUACUACACUAGCACAUUGUAGAGGGCAGAUAAGAUUAUCACAGGAAUUGAGCAUAGAUAAUGUUCUCUAUUUGCCUCAAUUUGCUGUGAAUCUUAUUUCUGCUUCAAAGUUGAUUAAAGAGCAAAAUUGCAUUUUGCAUUUUGAAGCUAAUGAGUGUACAAUACAGGAAAAGAACAGUUUGAAGAAGAUUGGUUUAGCUGAAGAGAGACAUGGUUUAUACUACUUGAAGAUUGAUGAGAAGCACAAUCAAGUUUCAGUGUCUAAUGUGGCUGCUUUAGCAAAUUCAAAUAAAGAGCAUGUUCCAGAUGGAAUCUUGUGGCAUCUCAGACUUGGUCAUCUAUCAAAAGAUAGAAUGAUGUGUAUGAAUAAGCUGUAUAGCUAUAUUUCUACUAGUCCACACACUGCUUGUGAUGUAUGUCAGAUGUGUAGACAGAAAAUUUUACCCUUUCCUGUUAGUAAUAAGAAUGCUAAAGCUGCUUUUGAGCUUGUUCAUUUUGAUAUUUGGGGACCAUUUGGUACAGCUUCUGUCCAUGGUCACAAAUAUUUUCUUACUAUUUUAGAUGAUUGUACAAGGCAUAUUUGGGUUGUGAUGAUGAAUAAUAAAUCUGAAGCUUCUCAGAAAGUAAAGAGUUUUAUUUCUAUGGUUGAAAGACAAUUUGACUGCAAAGUCAAGAAAGUUAGAAGUGAUAAUGGACCAGAAUUCAUGUUGAAAGAGUUCUAUGAUGAAAAAAGGAAUAAUUCACCAAAGAAGUUGUGUGUAUACUCCACAACAAAAUGGGAGAGUGGAGAGAAGACACCAACACAUACUCAAUAUCAGUAGAGCCCUUAUGUUCCAGUCAAAAUUGCCUAAGAAGUUCUGGUCAUAUGCUGUAUUACAUGCAGUUUAUUUGAUUAAUAGAAUUCCCACUAAAAUUUUGAACAACAAAUCUUCUUAUGAAGUGUUGUAUGGUGAAGUACCAGAUUUGAGUAAUCUCAAAGUUUUUGGAUGCUUGAGUUAUGCAUCCACCUUACCAGUUAACAGACACAAAUUUGAUUCAAGAGCUAAGAAAUGUGCUUUCUUAGGAUACAAGUCAGGUAUCAAAGGUUUUGUCCUUGUGAAUGUCCAUACUUCUGAAAUAGUUGUUUCCAGGAAUGUGAAAUUUUUUGAUCUGGAAUUUCCUUUCCAUUCCUCUAGUGUUACUACAGUUCCCUCUACACAUAUUUACCUUGAUAGUCAAGUUACUAACAUUGUGCCUGUUAAUGACAUUAUUGUGAAUUCUUCUGAAGAUCAUGAUGAGGUUCCUCAUGAAGAUUCACUUAUUGAUACUGAAGAAAGGGAUGAUGAAGUGGAGCCUGUAGCCACCAGAAAAUCCUCCAGAAGUUCUCAAUCACCAGUUUACUUACAAAAUUAUGUCUGUAAUUCAACAAGUGGUCAUUACCCUAUGACAAAUUUUGUUAGUUAUUCAGCUUUAUCUCCUAAACACCGUACUUAUGCUUACUCUUUGAAUACUGAGAUUGAGCCCACUAGUUAUCUUUCAGCUAGUAAAGAUUCUAGGUGGUUAACUGCUAUGCAGACAGAGAUAGAGGCUCUUAAUGCAAAUAAUACUUGGGAAUUUGUUGAUCUUCCUUCAGAUGCUGUAUCCAUAGGUAGUAAAUGGGUAUAUAAGAUCAAAAGACAUGCAGAUGGUACCAUAGAACGUUUCAAAGCACGUUUGGUUGCUCAAGGUUUUAAUCAAACUGAAGGGCUUGAUUAUUUUGAAACAUUCUCCCCUGUUGCCAAGUUAUCCACCAUUAGGGUAUUGCUUGCUCUUGCAUCUAUUCAUGGUUGGUAUUUGCAUCAACUUGAUGUCAAUAACGCCUUCUUGCAUGGAGAUUUACAUGAAGCAGUAUAUAUGAAAGUCCCUCAAGGUGUUACUCCUCCCAAACCUGGACAAGUUUGCAAGCUCCAGAAAUCCCUUUAUGGUCUUAAGCAAGCAAGUAGGCAAUGGUUUGAGAAGCUUACUCAGUUUCUUUAUGCUCAGGGAUUCACUCAAGCUAAUGCAGAUCACACAUUAUUUACUAAAAUCACUGCUACUUCCUACACUGUGGUUUUGGUUUAUGUGGAUGACAUUAUUUUAGCAGGAACAUGUCUGCAGGCGUUUGAUUCAUUGAAACAAGCUCUUAACAAUGCUUUUCGCAUCAAGAAUUUAGGGGAACUUAAAUUCUUCUUAGGAUUGGAAGUAGCACGUUCCUCAAAAGGCAUUUCUCUCUGUCAACGCAAAUACUGUCUGGAGCUUCUUGAUGAUGCUGGCUUGACUGGUUGCAAACCAGUUUCUACUCCUCUUGAUCCUUCUAUACGUUUAUCUCAAGAUACUGGGUCUCUUCAUGGUGAUGUCACUGGUUAUAGACGUUUAGUUGGAAGACUGCUAUAUCUCACCACCACACGCCCUGAUAUAGCUUUUGCAGCACAACAAUUGAGUCAAUUCAUGGCUUCUCCAACUGAAUUGCAUUACAAAGCAGCUCUUAGAGUUUUGAGAUAUUUAAAGCGCUCUCCUGGACGUGGUUUAUUUUUCUCUAAAUCCUCUGAGCUUCAAUUGCUUGGUUUCAGUGAUGCAGACUGGGGAGGGUGUGUAGACACUCGUCGUUCCAUUUCAGGGUAUUGUUUCUUCAUUGGCCAGUCUUUGGUUUCCUGGAAAUCAAAGAAGCAACCAACUGUUUCAUGUUCCUCUGCUGAAGCAGAAUACAGGGCUUUAGCUUCGGCUACUAGAGAGCUUCAAUGGUUGUGUUUCAUUCUUCAUGAUUUGAAGCAAGCUCCUUCACGUUUACCUGUACUCUACUGUGAUAACCAGAGUGCACUUCACAUAUCAGCUAAUCCAGUGUUUCAUGAACGCACCAAGCACUUAGACAUUGAUUGUCAUCUAGUACGUGAAAAGAUUCAAGCUGGAGUUAUGCGUUUGUUACCAGUCACCUCCCAACAUCAAACAGCUGACAUGUUUACCAAGGCUUCUGGUCCACGACAAUUUCAUGCAUGCAUGCUCAAACUAGGGAUGGUAGAUAUCUACCAACCACCAGUUUGCGAGGGGGUAUCAACAUAUGAAGAAAAAGAGCAAGUUAACUAAUUAGAAGUAUUUGCAUUUGCAUUUCAUUUCUAACUGUAAUUUCAUUUGCAUCUAGUUAGUUAGAAUAGUGAUGAGCUGGCACUAAUGUGUAUAUAACUGAAUGUAAUGAACCUUUACAAGUCAAUGAAAAUCAGUUACAAGUUUUCUUCAUUUGAAGCUUUUUCUCUCUUAACCAUGGUGGUUUAUUCUUCUCUGAGUUUCUGCUGUGUUGUGAUCCUCUCCCUAUGCAGUACUCAGUUGCAUUGCUCAUCUAAAAGUGAUAGGGAAAACUAAGAUAUAAAAGUUGAAUGAACAGAGGUACAGACCCACGUUGGUGUUUGUAUUUUACUUGUUGCACCUUACCCUAGUAAAAAAAUCGGUGUGAUGUCUCUUGUUCCCUAUCUCACUGUCUAGGUCACUCCUCCCCGAUAAUAAUGAAGGUGAUGACAGACCAUCUUACGUUACUCUUAGCAUGUUUUUCAGUUAUUUUCAGUAUGUUUUAACAACAAAAAGGAGGAGUAUUAGAACAAUUGCCUAUAAUUUUGGGAGUUUUGUAAUGUUUUCUAUAUUUGAGUAUGUAAUUAUAGUUUUCUUGAAACAUAGUGUAACGCCCUAUUUCUAUUAAAGCGAUAAAACCCGCGAAUAAUAUAAAUAUUCAAGAAAUAAACGCUACGUCAUCAAAAAAAAUCCAAAACAACAUGCAUGUAUAAAAUUCUCAAUAGUCGCAGCGGAUAUAAACCAUAUACAUCAAGCAUACAUGUCAUGAUAACAAAAUACAAUAUCAUAAAAGUUCUCAAAGUCUCGACAAAUGGGUAAAUCUCCAAACAUGAAUAAAAUCCAAACAGAUAAUCUAGAGUAAUCAUAAACAGACACCUAGAUCAGAGCUUAUCCUAGACUCUAAGACACGAUAACGGAGAUAGCUACCGCUAUCCAAGCAACCACCGAGCAACUCACCAACGCAACUAAACCUGCACAACGUCUACCCAUCCAUACAGAUAGGUAGGCGGUCAAAACCACUUGGGAUAAGCUUUACAUCAAUCAUAAUCCACAUAAACAUUUAGACAUAAAUAAAUCAAUUCAAGUAAUCAUAUAAUUAAUCAAGAGUAAUUAAUUCCCAUAUACACAUUCAUACCAUAAUUUCAAAGUCUCAUAAUAUGUAUUCAUCAAACACACUUAUCACCAACAAUCAUCAUUCACAUGUCACAAAUAAGACUCAUGUCAACAUGAUAUGCACCUAGUUCGACACAUAUAUGCAUGUAGUACCAAAUCACCGCAAGGUCGUCACCUUCGAUGCAACAAAAACAUCGAUCGUAUGUAAGAUUUCACAUCCGUCUUACAUAAUCACCGAAGUAAAAGAGCACCCCUCUUUUACAGCUACAAGACUCAACAUGACUAUUAUGCAAGGACAUACAAGCAAAGACUCGACAAGGCAAAACCACCUCAUAAUCUUCACAACGAUAUAAAGGAUAACUUCCAAAUAUAUUGAUUAUCUCCACAACAAUUGAAUUAUCAAGUAUUUACGUCCACACAACAUUCAAGUCAUAAUUCAAAUAAGAGUCAUCAUCACAUUAUCACCAUAUUCAUCAAUAAUCAUCAACAUCAUUCAACAUCAACUACAUCAUAUAGUUUCACCACUCCAAAUAUUUCUCAUAUUCAAAGUAAAGAGAAAAUACAACAACUUAUGAUAAAUAUCAUAUCCAACAUAUAACAAUUCAUUCAAACAUCUUCAUUUAGUCAUAUAAGUUUAGUCACGAAAGAUCAUAAGAUAAUUGGCUUAAGAGAACCAUUCCCGAUAAAAUCUAUAUCAAGUGGCAAACGGCCAACAUUAAUAAUUCCCAAAACAAGGUAACAUAUUCAAGGUUGAAAAUUCACAAAAUAAUCUUAAACAAUCAUGUAAUCAAGAGCUUAAGCCACUUACAAACUAUUAGACAUUAGUUCAAAUUAUAGCUUAAGUUCGUAUGAGAAAACCCAAGUUCACAUUUUCCACAUUCCCACCCAAAAAUCAAGUUUGACAUGAUUAAGACAUUAAGCCAACUUUACAAGUCUUGCCUAAGUCUAUAUGAAUUGUAGGUUAAACUUGUAAUCUCAUUUAGUUCAAAAAAGUUCAUUUCGAGAAAAAUUCGAAAUUGCAAAAAAUAUUCAAGUUUUAACCCAAAAUGGAAAAUCCCAAAUUUGAAUGAGUAAAACAUGUUCCAGUAGAAUUAGGAGUUCAAACAGAGGUUAAACAAGUUGAAAGAAGUAUUUUACAAAGCUCGAAUUGGCCCCCUAAGACCCGGAAUGAAAAUCAAAGGUUGCUGAAACUGGGCACGUUUGCUUAAGCGACCACCUUGUUCGCUUAAGCGAACAAGUUCCAGAAGCUACGACAAAAGUUCACUUGUUGUUCGCUUACUCGUUCGCUUAGCGUUCGCAUAAGCGAACAGUCAUAAUUCAGCAGAUAAAUAUUACAGGUUUCAACCAUUUUUCACCUAAAAUUCUCAAUUUUGAUCUGCCAAUGCCCAAAUAUGUUUCAAAAGUUUGUUUACAUGUCAAAACAGCUAAAAGGGUUCCCAAGAACACAUCAAUUAUGAAAACAAUUGCCAUUUGAACAUAAUUCACCAAAUCAACCUAUUUUUACAAAACCAACAGCAACAACUUAUUUUUCAUCAUCAAGUCAUGAUAUAUGAACACCCAACAACAUCAAUUAAGCAUUAUUCCCAUCAUAAUUCAACAACAACAUAGCACAAUUCAACAAUUUGAGCACAAUUCACAAUAUAACAUUUUCACAUACUAUGAACAUGAAAUUUCACCAACAACAAUUCAAUUAUCACCAAUUUCUUGCAUUUAAACAUAUCAUCAUAAUUAAUGCACGAAUUUCAACAACUAUGAACAAUAAUCAAUUAUUCAACUAAGCACUUAAACAUGCAAUUAAUGAAAAAUUACAACUAAUUGAUUAUGAUUGAAUUCUAAUUCCCUUACCUUAAAUAGCACAAAUCCUAGUCCAAGCUUCAAUUUAGCUCCUAGAAUCACCACCACCUCUUAGGUCUUCAAGUCUCUCCUCUUCUAACCCUUUUCCCCUUCUCUUGCACCUUCUCUCUCUACCUCUCUCUAAAAAUCUUGUGAAAUGAAAAAUGAAUGUUAUUUCUCUUAAGACAAGGUUUAUAUAGGCUAUUCUCAAAUCG
rnacentral:lncRNA from 1 species